ensembl:ncRNA H13N06.11 ncRNA
AUCAGUUGUUGUAGUCGGAAUUUAUGAAAGUGUGAAAAAGAGGGUGAGACUAUGCAUAGUUGCGUAACAAACACCAAAAAGGGAAGAAAGUAGAAGGAGGAGGAAGAAUAAGAAUAAAAAGAAGAAUGACAGUGAUUCUGGAUACUUUUAAGGAGUAAAAAAGGAACUUAAAAGUUGUGGGUGAGAGAACAAACAAAUGAUG